CNGUACAGAGUUAUUCUGUUCAGCCCUGCC
rnacentral:piRNA from 1 species